rnacentral:rRNA from 1 species
GAGCGGCGAACGGGUGAGUAACACGUGAGUAACCUGCCCCUGACUCUGGGAUAAGCCCGGGAAACUGGGUCUAAUACCGGAUAUGACACCUCCUCGCAUGGGGUGGGUGUGGAAAGUCUUUUCGGUUGGGGAUGGACUCGCGGCCUAUCAGCUUGUUGGUGGGGUAAUGGCCUACCAAGGCGACGACGGGUAGCCGGCCUGAGAGGGCGACCGGCCACACUGGGACUGAGACACGGCCCAGACUCCUACGGGAGGCAGCAGUGGGGAAUAUUGCGCAAUGGGCGAAAGCCUGACGCAGCGACGCCGCGUGGGGGAUGACGGCCUUCGGGUUGUAAACCUCUUUCAGCAGGGACGAAGUUGACGUGUACCUGCAGAAGAAGCGCCGGCUAACUACGUGCCAGCAGCCGCGGUAAUACGUAGGGCGCAAGCGUUGUCCGGAAUUAUUGGGCGUAAAGAGCUCGUAGGUGGCUUGUCACGUCGGGUGUGAAAGCUUGGGGCUUAACUCCAGGUCU